AACGAACGCUGGCGGCAGGCCUAACACAUGCAAGUCGAGCGAGGACUUCGGUUCUAGCGGCGGACGGGUGAGUAACGCGUGGGAAUGUGCCCUUCUCUACGGAAUAGCCCUGGGAAACUGGGAGUAAUACCGUAUACGCCCUAUUGGGGAAAGAUUUAUCGGAGAAGGAUCAGCCCGCGUUGGAUUAGGUAGUUGGUGGGGUAAUGGCCUACCAAGCCGACGAUCCAUAGCUGGUUUGAGAGGAUGAUCAGCCACACUGGGACUGAGACACGGCCCAGACUCCUACGGGAGGCAGCAGUGGGGAAUCUUAGACAAUGGGGGCAACCCUGAUCUAGCCAUGCCGCGUGAGUGAUGAUGGCCUUAGGGUUGUAAAGCUCUUUCAGCUGGGAAGAUAAUGACGGUACCAGCAGAAGAAGCCCCGGCUAACUCCGUG
rnacentral:rRNA from 1 species